rnacentral:rRNA from 1 species
UGCCAGACUCCUACGGGAGGCAGCAGUGGGGGAUAUUGCACAAUGGGGGAAACCCUGAUGCAGCGACGCCGCGUGAGUGAAGAAGUAUUUCGGUAUGUAAAGCUCUCUCAGCAGGGACGAAAAUGACGGUACCUGAGUAAGAAGCCCCGGCUAACUACGUGCCAGCAGCCGCGGUAAUACGUAGGGGGCAAGCGUUAUCCGGAAUUACUGGGUGUAAAGGGAGCGUAGACGGUGAAGUAAGUCUGGAGUGAAAGGCGGGGGCCCAACCCCCGGACUGCUCUGGAAACUAUUUGACUGGAGUGCAGGAGAGGUAAGCGGAAUUCCUAGUGUAGCGGUGAAAUGCGUAGAUAUUAGGAGGAACACCAGUGGCGAAGGCGGCUUACUGGACUGUAACUGACGUUGAGGCUCGAAAGCGUGGGGAGCAAACAGGAUUAGAUACCCCGGUACUA